GAUGAACGCUGGCGGCGUGCCUAAUACAUGCAAGUCGAGCGAACGGACGAGAAGCUUGCUUCUCUGAUGUUAGCGGCGGACGGGUGAGUAACACGUGGAUAACCUACCUAUAAGACUGGGAUAACUUCGGGAAACCGGAGCUAAUACCGGAUAAUAUUUUGAACCGCAUGGUUCAAAAGUGAAAGACGGUCUUGCUGUCACUUAUAGAUGGAUCCGCGCUGCAUUAGCUAGUUGGUAAGGUAACGGCUUACCAAGGCAACGAUGCAUAGCCGACCUGAGAGGGUGAUCGGCCACCCUGCAACUGAGACACGGUCCAGACUCCUACGGGAGGCAGCAGUAGGGAAUCUUCCGCAAUGGGCGAAAGCCUGACGGAGCAACGCCGCGUGAGUGAUGAAGGUCUUCGGAUCGUAAAACUCUGUUAUUAGGGAAGAACAUAUGUGUAAGUAACUGUGCACAUCUUGACGGUACCUAAUCAGAAAGCCACGGCUAACUACGUG
rnacentral:rRNA from 1 species